rnacentral:rRNA from 1 species
AGAGCUAAUACAUGCUAAAAAUCCCGACUUCGGAAGGGAUGUAUUUAUUAGAUUAAAAACCAAUGCCCUCUGGGCUCCUUGGUGAUUCAUGAUAACUCUUCGAAUCGCACGGCCCUUGCGCCGGCGAUGGUUCAUUCAAAUUUCUUCCCUAUCAACUUUCGAUGUUUGGGUAUUGGCCAAACAUGGUUGCAACGGGUAACGGAGGGUUAGGGCUCGACCCCGGAGAAGGAGCCUGAGAAACGGCUACUACAUCCAAGGAAGGCAGCAGGCGCGCAAAUUACCCAAUCCCGAUUCGGGGAGGUAGUGACAAUAAAUACUGAUACAGGGCUCUUUUGGGUCUUGUAAUUGGAAUGAGUACAAUUUAAAUCCCUUAACGAGGAACAAUUGGAGGGCAAGUCUGGUGCCAGCAGCCGCGGUAAUUCCAGCUCCAAUAGCGUAUAUUAAAGUUGUUGUGGUUAAAAAGCUCGUAGUUGAACCUUGGGCCUGGCUGGCCGGUCCGCCUCACCGCGUGCACUGGUCCGGCCGGGCCUUUCCCUCUGUGGAACCCCAUGCCCUUCACUGGGCGUGGCGGGGAAACAGGACGUUUACUUUGAAAAAAUUAGAGUGCUCCAGGCAGGCCUAUGCUCGAAUACAUUAGCAUGGAAUAAUGAAAUAGGACGCGUGGUUCUAUUUUGUUGGUUUCUAGGACCGCCGUAAUGAUUAAUAGGGACAGUCGGGGGCAUCAGUAUUCAAUUGUCAGAGGUGAAAUUCUUGGAUUUAUUGAAGACUAACUACUGCGAAAGCAUUUGCCAAGGAUGUUUUCAUUAAUCAGGAACGAAAGUUAGGGGAUCGAAGACGAUCAGAUACCGUCGUAGUCUUAACCAUAAACUAUGCCGACUAGGGAUCGGACGAUGUUA